rnacentral:misc_RNA from 1 species
GAUGAAGCACGUAGCGAAAUGCGAUAAGUAAUGUGAAUUGCAGAAUUCAGUGAAUCAUCGAAUCUUUGAACGCACAUUGCGCCCAUUAGUAUUCUAGUGGGCAUGCCUGUUCGAGCGUCAUUAAGUCCACUUAAGCCCUGCUUAGUGUUGGGAGACUGCUCCAGCGGUGCUACCCUGUAGCUACCCUGCAGCUCCUCAAAGACAGCGGCGGAGUUGUGGUAUCCUCUGAGCUUAGUAACUUGUUCUAGCUUUCGAGUACACCACUUCCCCUGCCGUAAAACCCUUAAUUUUUAAUGGUUGACCUCGGAUCAGGUAGGAAUACCCGCUGAACUUAAGCAUAUCAAUAAGCGGAGGA